rnacentral:piRNA from 1 species
UUAUAAUGGUGAUUGCUCGCGGCAUGG